rnacentral:sRNA from 1 species
AGUCCAGGGUCACACCCUUGAUCAUGUUCUGAACAUGACUGCAGAUGGUUCUGACCAGUUCCUUUUUGUUACUCCCACUAUUUGUCAACCUGGGACCUCUUCUUUUUCUUCAAGACAAAGCUCCUUGGAAGGAAAGAUUGAAGUCCCUCUGCAGAAUUAACCCAUGGCGCUCUUCACAAUGACUUGAGCCCCUGCAGAGUGACGUCUACAUCUUCUGGAAUGUCAUCAAUCUGAUUGCUGAGAAUGGUCAGCAAAGCCACACUAGCUAUUACUAAGAGUCGUGGAUCAUUAACACAAGGCUUUUGUGCUAUCGAUACCUACUACUGAAAAAGAUGAAGGUUUAUACUAGCUAGUGAGAACCUAGCUAGUGGCAUUCAUAGCUAGAGCUGCCAAACUUAACACCUAAUAUCUCUAGUCUCUUUCCUCUCAGGCCUGAAGCCAAAAGG